rnacentral:rRNA from 1 species
CCUACGGGUGGCAGCAGUGAGGAAUAUUGGUCAAUGGGCGUAAGCCUGAACCAGCCAAGUCGCGUGAGGGAUGAAGGUUCUAUGGAUCGUAAACCUCUUUUAUAAGGGAAUAAAGUGUGGGACGUGUCCUAUUUUGCAUGUACCUUAUGAAUAAGCAUCGGCUAACUCCGUGCCAGCAGCCGCGGUAAUACGGAGGAUCCGAGCGUUAUCCGGAUUUAUUGGGUUUAAAGGGUGCGUAGGCGGCUUUUUAAGUCAGCGGUGAAAGUGUGUGGCUCAACCAUAGAAUUGCCGUUGAAACUGGGGGGCUUGAGUAUGGUUGAGGCAGGCGGAAUAAGUGAUGUAGCGGUGAAAUGCUUAGAUAUCACUCAGAACCCCGAUAGCGAAGGCAGCCUGCCAGGCCAUGACUGACGCUGAUGCACGAGAGCGUGGGGAUCGAACAGGAUUAGAUACCCCUGUAGUC